UACGUGAGCCCCAAGCGUUACCCGGAAUCACUGGGCGUAAAGGGUGUGUAGGCGGCAAUGUUAGUCUCUUGUGAAAGCCCGCGGCUCAACCGCGGAUCCGCGAGAGAAACGGCAUAGCUAGAGGAUGCGAGAGGUUAAGGGAACUCAUGGUGUAGGGGUGAAAUCCGUUGAUAUCAUGGGGAACACCGAAAGCGAAGGCACUUAACUGGCGCACUCCUGACGCUGAGACACGAAAGCGUAGGUAGCGAAUGGG
rnacentral:misc_RNA from 1 species